rnacentral:misc_RNA from 1 species
GAAAUAAUUAAAAUCAAGUAAUGUGGAGACAAGAUUAAUAAAAUAGAUAAAUGACCCGUUCGGAAUAAACAGAACCGUGUGUUGUGAUAUUAGAAAAGUGGGGAAGUGAUACAGUUCUUUGUUAGUAUUGGAUAAACGUGAGAAGGUGUUCGUAGGAAGUGACCGGUCUCAUAAAUCAGGAAAGUGAAAAAACAACCGUAUAUGUAUAUUUGUUUUAAAACGUGAUCAGUGCACGCCACAUAGUAUUUGAAAUUUAUUUAUUAUUUAUUCAUAAAAAUUAUGGAUUUUGUAUUAUACCAGUGAUAUUACGUUAAUACUUUGUAAAUAGUCUAUUGAAGAAAUGCCGGUGAAUGUGUUACGUUAAUUACGCGUUCAAAGUUUUCGAACAAAGACCAGUGUUGAACGAAAAAAUUUGGUUAUACGUGUGGUCUUCAUAGUGUUAAUUAAUAAAUAAUAUCGUAAACAACGAACAUCGAGGUCCAGCUUUUGUUUGGAUAUUUUUAUUUAUAACACCAACGUGGAUACCACCUGAGGGCAAGUGAAAUUCAAUGUUAAAUUUACUUGAGUAGAUACGCAAGAGAGGGAUUCGUGUCGCGCAUGACCUAAAGCAAGUGUUAGAAACAUACGUUUGAAUAGGUUUAAUAUUUAAUGCGGAAGUUAUAUAUCAAAACAUAUUGAAUCUUUAAAAUAUAAUACUAAUUGUUGGAUUAAUUUUCUACAUCUCUCGUCUUCGUCCAUCUUAAAAUUGUAUCUUCGAACGACUAUGUCGUUAACGGUUCAACAAAUUAUAUUGGAUGCUAAAAAAUUAGUUAUAAGAAUAUCAGAUCAUGAAAAUACUGCUGAUAAUUUAAUUAGCGAUAUGGAAUCUGUCCAUAGUCAGAUUGAUAAUAUGAAACAGUAUCAAGAAGAAGUCGAUAUAUUAAAUACGGAAGCUAAACGAACACCUCAUGUACAACUUAUUGCCGGUAUUCAACGUGAGAAUAGGCAUUUGCUUGAAAUUCAUGCCGAAAAUAAAGAAUUAAGAAACGCUUUGGAAGAUCAUCAAAACGCGCUUGAAUUAAUAAUGUCCAAGUAUAGGCAACAAAUAGCUUCGUUGAUGCGUCUCAGUAAAACAGAUUACUCAUCUUUGCAUAAUACCAAAUAUGCCAACAUAAUUACAAGGCAAGCGGAAAAAAUAAAUGAAAUGGCAGCUGUAAUGAAAACAGCUGCAUCAUUAGAUGAAGAGAAAGAAUGCAAAGAAAUGGAAGCGUUUCAUUGCUUGAAGAAAGAAAAUGAUGGUUUACGAGAGGUUCUUAAUAUCGCUAACAAAUUUGGUUCGCUGAACAAAAACAUUUCGGUUGAAAAUAAGACAGUACAAACUGAUCCGUUAUAACUUUGAAUUUCUAGACCCUUUUGUAUACAGAUUGCACAGUAUUCAUUUUAUACUACAAAUUACAACCAUAUAGCAUAAAUACAGUAAAUAUAUAUAUAAAUAUAAAUAUAUAUAUAAUUCAGGUGGCAAAAGAGCAAUAGGAAACCUAGCGAGUUUAAAAAACAAACGGAAAUACGAAGGAAGCAUUUAACCAGUUAGCUGUGCCGACAUUUUGAAAAGGGUGUGUACCUAAAUUGCGUCGCCAAAACAGAAGAAGGGACGACUAGUAUACUCGUCAAACAUAGAAUAUGUGUAGCUGUUAUAAUAUUGAAUUAAAUUGUAAUCAAAUGAC